AUGAUUAGAGCGGCGGACGGGUGAGUAACGCGUAGGAAUCUACCUAGUAGAAGGGGAUAGCCCGGGGAAACUCGGAUUAAUACCGCAUACGCCCUAAGGGGGGAAGGCCGGGAUCUUCGGACCGGUCGCUAUUGGAUGAGCCUGCGUAAGAUUAGCUAGUUGGUGAGGUAAUGGCUCACCAAGGCGACGAUCUGUAGCUGGUCUGAGAGGAUGAUCAGCCACACUGGGACUGAGACACGGCCCAGACUCC
rnacentral:rRNA from 1 species